UUUAUACACCCUCUGUCUGGAAAUACUUGUGGGGGAAAUAGAUAAAAAUGAAUGUAUCAAAAACUAAAAUACGUCUAGAUACAUCCAUUUCUUCAACAAGUAUUUUCGGACGGAGGUAGUAUUUU
rfam:Triticum urartu cultivar G1812 contig524011, whole genome shotgun sequence.